rnacentral:rRNA from 1 species
GACGAACGCUGGCGGCGUGCUUAACACAUGCAAGUCGAACGGUGAAGCGCCUUCCUUUUUGGUGGGUGUGGAUGAGUGGCGAACGGGUGAGUAACACGUGAGUAACCUGCCCCCUUCUUCUGGAUAACCGCAUGAAAGUGUGACUAAUACGGGAUAUUCUGGGUCUGUCGCAUGAUGGGUCUGGGAAAGAUAUUGUUUCGGUGGGGGAUGGGCUCGCGGCCUAUCAGCUUGUUGGUGGGGUGAUGGCCUACCAAGGCGGUGACGGGUAGCCGGCCUGAGAGGGUGGACGGUCACACUGGGACUGAGACACGGCCCAGACUCCUACGGGAGGCAGCAGUGGGGAAUAUUGCACAAUGGGCGCAAGCCUGAUGCAGCGACGCCGCGUGAGGGAUGGAGGCCUUCGGGUUGUGAACCUCUUUCGCCAGUGAAGCAGGCCUGCCUCGUUUGUGGGUGGGUUGACGGUAGCUGGAUAAGAAGCGCCGGCUAACUACGUG